UCGAUUUGGAGUUUGUUGCCUAGAGUGAUGGGCUCCGAAGCUAACGCGAUAAAUCGACCGCCUGGGGAGUACGGCCGCAAGGUUAAAACUCAAAUGAAUUGACGGGGGCCCGCACAAGCGGUGGAGCAUGUGGUUUAAUUCGAUGCAACGCGAAGAACCUUACCUGGUCUUGACAUCCACAGAAUCUUGCAGAGAUGCGAGAGUGCCUUCGGGAACUGUGAGACAGGUGCUGCAUGGCUGUCGUCAGCUCGUGUUGUGAAAUGUUGGGUUAAGUCCCGCAACGAGCGCAACCCUUAUCCUUUGUUGCCAUUGGUUCGGCCGGGAACUCAAAGGAGACUGCCGUUGAUAAAGCGGAGGAAGGUGGGGACGACGUCAAGUCAUCAUGGCCCUUACGACCAGGGCUACACACGUGCUACAAUGGCGUAUACAAAGGGAGGCGACCUCGCGAGAGCAAGCGGACCUCAUAAAGUACGUCUAAGUCCGGAUUGGAGUCUGCAACUCGACUCCAUGAAGUCGGAAUCGCUAAUAAUCGUGAAUCAGAAUGUCACGGUGAAUACGUUCCCGGGCCU
rnacentral:rRNA from 1 species